UACGUAGGGCGCAAGCGUUAUCCGGAAUUAUUGGGCGUAAAGAGCUCGUAGGCGGUUUGUCGCGUCUGCUGUGAAAGUCCGGGGCUCAACUCCGGAUCUGCGGUGGGUACGGGCAGACUAGAGUGAUGUAGGGGAGACUGGAAUUCCUGGUGUAGCGGUGAAAUGCGCAGAUAUCAGGAGGAACACCGAUGGCGAAGGCAGGUCUCUGGGCAUUAACUGACGCUGGAGGAGCGAAAGCAUGGGGAGCGAACAGG
rnacentral:rRNA from 1 species